rnacentral:lncRNA from 1 species
CAGAUGAAAGUUUAUAAAACCAGCAGAAAAGGGAAACUGCAUGAAUAUUCCUGUGAUAGAGUGAAAUACAGCUUAUAUAUUAAAACUGACAGAGGAGCUGAAGAUUUGCUGCAGUGAAACCCUGAACGGAUAAUGAAAAUAAAGACACUAAGCAUUGCAGAAAUGCAUGAAACAGGAGAAUUGGAGAUAGAGUACUUUGUGUCCUUACGGUCUUCAACAGGUAUGCCCUUUUCUCUAUAAAGCUUCCACAAAAGCAGAUUUCUUGAAUGUGCUGCAAACAGUACUGUGAAUGAGACACACAGAAGGGUCAUUACAGGUGGCUUCAAAGACAGCUUGGUCUUUUUCAGCAGGUCUUGCU